rnacentral:rRNA from 1 species
UGCGGCAGGGCUUAUACAUGCAAGUCGAGCGCAUCCUUUCGGGAUGAGCGGCGGACGGGUGAGUAAUGCGAAUGUGCCCUUCUCUACGGAAUAGCCACUGGAAACGGUGAGUAAUACCGUAUACGCCCUCAGGGGGGAAAGAUUUAUCGGAGAAGGAUCAGCCCGCGUUAGAUUAGUAGUUGGUGGGGUAACGGCCUACCAAGCCUACGAUCUAUAGCUGGUUUUAGAGGAUGAUCAGCCACACUGGGACUGAGACACGGCCCACACUCCUACGGGAGGCAGCAGUAGGGAAUCUUGGACAAUGGGGGCAACCCUGAUCCAGCCAUGCCGCGUGAGUGAAGAAGGCCCUAGGUCGUAAAGCUCUUUCGCCUGUGAUGAUAUGACAGUAGCAGGUAAAGAAACCCCGGCUAACUCCGUGCCAGCAGCCGCGGUAAUACGGAGGGGGUUAGCGUUGUUCGGAAUUACUGGGCGUUAAGCGCGCGUAGCGGAUUGGAAAGUUGGGGGUGAAAUCCCGGGGCUCAACCCCGGAACUGCCUUCAAAACUCCCAGUCAUAGAGUACGAGAGAGAGUGAGUGGAAUUCCGGCAGUGUACAAGGGUGAAAAUUCGUCAAAUUUUCGGAAGGAACCACCAAAGUCGGGCUGAAAAGGCGGCUCACUGGGCUCGAUUACUGAACCCCAUUGAGGGUGCGACAAGUGUUUGGCGAGCCAACACAGGAUUUACAAAUACCCCUGGUUAAGUCACACACACACGCAAAACAAAUAAACUGCACCAGACAGAGCCGCACAG